rnacentral:rRNA from 1 species
CCAAUAGCGUAUAUUAAAGUUGUUGCAGUUAAAAAGCUCGUAGUUGAAUUUCGGGAUCAAUAUAUCGGUCGUGCCAUCGGUACGUACUGGUAUCAUUGGUUUCUCCUUUCUGACGAACCAUGAUGUCAUUAAUUUUGUGUUAUUGGAAGUUAGGACUGUUACUUUGAAAAAAUUAGAGUGUUUAAAGCAGGCUUUAGCUUGAAUACAUUAGCAUGGAAUAAUGAAAUAGAACGUUCGAACCUAUUUUGUUGGUUUCUAGUAUCAACGUAAUGAUUAAUAGGGAUAGUUGGGGGCAUUAGUAUUCAAUUGUCAGAGGUGAAAUUCUUGGAUUUAUUGAAGACUAACUACUGCUAAAGCAUUUGCCAAGGAUGUUUUCAUUAAUCAAGAACGAAAGUUAGGGGAUCGAAGACGAUCAGAUACCGUCGUAGUCUUAACCAUAAACUAUGCCGACUAGGGAUCGGAUGAUGUUAAUUUUUUAAUGACUCAUUCGGCGCCUUACG